rnacentral:rRNA from 1 species
GAACGGCAGCACAGCAGAGCUUGCUCUGUGGGUGGCGAGUGGCGGACGGGUGAGGAAUACAUGGGAAUCUGCCCAGUCGUGGGGGAUAACGUAUGGAAACGUACGCUAAUACCGCAUGCGCCCUUUGGGGGAAAGCCGGGGACCUUCGGGCCUGGCGCGAUUGGAUGAGCCCAUGUUCGAUUAGCUAGUUGGCGGGGUAAAGGCCCACCAAGGCGACGAUCGAUAGCUGGUCUGAGAGGAUGAUCAGCCACACUGGGACUGAGACACGGCCCAGACUCCUACGGGAGGCAGCAGUAGGGAAUAUUGGACAAUGGGCGCAAGCCUGAUCCAGCCAUGCCGCGUGAGUGAAGAAGGCCCUCGGGUUGUAAAGCUCUUUUGUUGGGGAAGAAAAGCAGUCGGUUAAUACCUGAUUGUUCUGACGGUACCCAAAGAAUAAGCACCGGCUAACUUCGUGCCAGCAGCCGCGGUAAUACGAAGGGUGCAAGCGUUACUCGGAAUUACUGGGCGUAAAGCGUGCGUAGGUGGUUUGUUAAGUCUGAUGUGAAAGCCCUGGGCUCAACCUGGGAAUGGCACUGGAUACUGGCAAGCUAG